AUCAUUAAAUCAUCAUAUCCAAAUCUCAAGUUUUCACACUUGCAACUUGAAUUGGCUAGAACAGUUGAGGAGGUUUUAAGGCAAACUCUCAAAGGCAUUACAUUCCUGGAGCAUCAAAGGAGCUAAAGGGAUCAUCUAGCAUCAUUAAAAGCACCUCUAACAUCACAUUCAACAUUGCCCUGUUCAGGUUAGCAACUUGCUUUCGAAAUGCUUGAUAGAAUGGUUUUCAUGACUUAAUGUGUGAAUGAGAAAUGCUAUAUUCAACCCCCUGAACAUGAUUGAAUGCCUAUUUUUAUCCAAUUUUGCUCGUGUGUGGUUUUGAGUUUUGCUGCUAGGGAGUUAGGGUUUCUGUGUUCAUCAUGAUGUAUCUUUGUACACACUGCACCAUUUUGAAUUUCAUGACCAUGGUUGUUUUAAGCACAUGAAAUAGGUGAACUUUGGUUUUUAUUUCGUUUGAUUUCGUGCACUAUAGAGGAAGAUAUGUAUUGCUGAAGUUUGAAAAAUAUGUUUGAUUUUGGGGAGGAAGAUGAUGCCAGGGCGCGCGCAUUUCAGAUUUAAAAUUAUUGUUUUGUUUAUUUUGACUAGAAGCAACAAAGGAUCACCAAGUGACUCAAGGCCCAGUGGUGGGCGCGCUGAGUUGAAUUGCCAAGGGGAGGGGUUCGAAUCCCAUCUCCCCCCAUUUGUGUUUUUCUCUUUCUUUCUUUGUUUAAAAAGUGCAUUUUUUUAAUGUUUUCUUUUAACAAUUUCCAUUUCGAUUUUUAUUUUUGAUUCUUGUCUUACUUAACAUGAAAUAAAUAUGUGAACAUGAAAAAUGACAAAAAAUAUGAGUAUUUGACUUUGUUGACUUUUUUAGACCAUUUUGUGAAUUUAUCCCGAUUUUAUGAGUUCUAUUGACUAAAUCUCAUCUUGUGUGUUUCAUGUGGUUAUUUUGAUCUUUCAGACCUGGGAUUUUUAUGUGAAAUCAAUUUAGGGUAGGAACAUGUCCCCUUAGACACUUAGGAUAAUUUUUUCGCACAGUGCUCGAUUUAAUUCUGACAAAGUCCCGAUUAAAUGUUUUGACCUCCUAAACUUGUCCAAGUGAGAUGGAAUUUGACAUGCUUACCAUGNN
rnacentral:lncRNA from 1 species